rnacentral:lncRNA from 1 species
CCUAGGGGAGCCAGUAAAGAUUAAAUGUGCUUUCUAAAGGCAGCCACUUCAUGCUGCUAUGUUGAAAGGGCCAGUGUUAUUAUUAUUAUUUUUAAUAGUAAAAGAAAAGGAGGGGGAGAGACAGAGAGGGAGGGGGGAGGGAGAGAGAGGGAGAGGGGCUAGGUAUGAUCAUGACGGACUGGCUUCUCUGAGAGGAAAAGGAAGAGGGAAAGGAAAGAAAAAGGAAGGACCCUAAGCUGAACGAAGGAUUGUGCAUGAGAAGAACCUACAGAGGUGAGGAAAAAAGUUUGUGUGUGUGUGUGUGUGUGUGUGUGUGUGUGUGUGUGUGUGUGUGAGUGGUGGGGGUGCUUAACAGACCCUAUAGAGAGGGAAAAGAUAUAAUUCCGCUGUCUUGGUAGUAUGAUCCUGUUUUUCAAAGGGGGGAGGGGAAGUGGAAGAACCUGGAGCUCUAACUGUUCCUAGAUGCAUAUGGAAAUAUAUUUAAAAUAUUUCACUUUUUUUUUCUUAAGUGCCAGAGGAGGCCCCCUCCAGUGUCUUCCUUAGUAUGGCUGCUUUGUCGUUCUCUUUGACUAGCCAUCCAUCUACCUUGCUCAGGCCUGGAAUGAAAUAACGGAGAAAAAAAAAAAAAUAGAGGAAGAAAAUUUUUAAAGGGAGUCAUCUUCCUUUGCACUCCUCUUUCGCUUCAUUUUUUGGAGGCAGCACAGGAAAGCAGUUUCCAGUCAGAUGAGGAAACAGGACUCUGUCAGGUAGAGAACCAGUAGAUUCUGCGAAGAUGGAGGGGAAUUAUGCUCUGUAUUCCUCUGAAAUAUUGGCCCUAGCAUCCGCAGCGGGAGGUGGGGGCUGCAUCCCCAGCGUGCACCCACCCCUUCCCUCUUUGCGUCUACGGAAUGACAGCUUGGUGCUCCUCUUGCUGCUCUGGCCUCUGCUGUAGCCAAGCAGCUGGUGCAGAGGAGGGCCCGGUUUGCAGGACCGGCAAGGUGCAUGCUAAAGAAGAAAUUUUUUAAAAGCAGCACUGAAGAGGUUUCUUGCUCUUCACCCUUUUUAAAAAAACAAAACAAAACAAAUUUUAACUGAAUAUUUUCCAAAUUUGAUCAUCCCCAGCCCCUCCCUCCACUCCCACCCAAAUGCCUGUUUCCCCCAUCUCUUCAAAGCAAAAACUACAGAGUUACAGUCUCCAGAUUUGGUGUAUCGCUUCCUGCCCCCGCCUCCCCCUCCCCGCCCGCCCCGCUCUCCGUCCUCUAUUGAAACACCUCGAGCAGCCUAGCUCUCCGAGCUCACAUUCUCCCCCUUGCUGGGAAUGGUGCUCCUGGAGGUCGUGCAGUCCCGCUCCGCUUCGAAUGGCUGGUCCUAUAGCACCCUGUUCAGGAAUGUCUCCCCAGUGAAAGGACAGAGACUACAGAGACUGCUAUGUUGAUCAACCCUCAUGCCAACUGUGAAGUUGAAACAAAGAAAGUGACAACCUGAAGAUAUCUCUCCUGUCCAGCAACAAACCCAAAAGGUGCAGUUUCAACCAUUAAAAUUCUCAGAAAAAGAGGCAAUUGUUCCAAGAAACAUAAAAACCCAGUAAUGACACCUAGAUCUCUAACAAGCCAAGAAGAACAUUCCCUUCCUUCUGUGUAUUCCUCUGUUUGUAUUUAAAUUCAUGUGACAUUAAUUUUUUUCCUAGUAUGGAGAAACUUCUUAAUGUACACAUUUUAAAAUCUAAAUUUACACAAAUGUGUUAAUAUGUUAAGGAACAAAAUUGGUGCUAUGAGGAGAAUGAUUUUUAGUCAUACACAGAGUUUAUUCUUAAGAGUAGCAUAGAGAAUUGAAGUACUUUUGAAAUGACAAAGUAGUCACUGGUAAUUUAAAGGAUAAAAGAAUGGGAGAAACUCAUGCUGGAGCUUCAAAAUACCACAUUAUUCCACCUUAUACCAGCCAGUAAACCAUUACCUUUAUCAAGCAAGCUCAGUUCUGUGAGAUAUGAUUAUUGCUUCUAAGAACUUUAAUCUAGAUAGAUAUGUAACUUUUUACAUAAACUUUUGAAAAGGUAAGUAACGGGUAGGUUCAGUAGAUAACAACAAAAAGCAAUGUAAAUGAUGAACUCAAAAGAGGUCUCAAUAAGGUGGGCAAAACUAACUUUCUUAGUGAAGGAAGUUUCCAAAAUAGGAAAGUAGGAGAUUAUUCUUGAAGGAUGUCAAAAAUAUAGAUGGUAUAAAGGUAGAAGAAAACAGAGUCCACUAGGUACACAAUAUUGUAAGCAAAACCUUGGAGAAGGAAAUCCACAUGGUAAAUUUAGGAGAGGAUGAAUGCACGUGUUGAUUUCACGUAACUCUAGGCACGCAGUACCUCUGUGUACUGGGAAAAACUUUGCACACAUACACCUCCCCUUUCAAUCCCCUCCUGCCUCCACCAAGUUUCACCUAGAAUUGUAUUUCUUUGCCAUUGUAGCACAAGAAGGUGAUUGGUGGUAAUAUGGAGAACUUGUGACUUUUCUGUUGAUAAUAAUUACUAUAUAUUGACUUCUCACUCUAUAUUAAGCAUUUUGCAGACUAACUCAAGCCUCAAGAUGAGGAUGCAAAUUAGAUAUUAUUAUCCUCAUUUUAUAGGUAAUAAAACUGAAGUUUAAUAAAAUUAUGUAACUUGACAAAAUGCCACAUAUGCUGUUCAUAUUUAGGAUUACGAUGACAAAGUUCAUGAUUUAAAGCACUAUCUCACAAUAUUGUGAUCAAUGUCAACAAUAUUGCCCUUUUUCUAUAUUCUUUGAUUGUCUAUGGCAAAUUAUUAUUAAUAUUAUUAAAUUAUCACCUAAAUCUUAUUAUUUUUCUGGAUAAAUUACAUUAGAGUGCUAGAAUGUAUUUUCAUUUAAAAAAGGAAAAAUUUGAGAAGUCGAGCUUUUCAGCACUUUAGACCUUUCUUUUCUGUUUUUGGCAAGACUUUGGUGAGACUUUCUACUUUGUUCUGCAAGAAAUCUCAAAUCUUUGAGAAUAAAAAUGGAAAAGUGUUUAUGUCACACAUUGCAAUGUCCUUUUUUACAGACAAGAUGAAUCUAUAGCCCAUAAACUUGGAGUGACUUACAGAAGUUCACAUUUGGCCCUUGCAGUAGACCAAAGACUAGAAAUAAGUCCCUUCAGUUUGGUCCACUCUCAGUGCCACUUGAACUAUGCCGCUCUGCAUAAAUGAAGCAUGAACUUGAAUUUGAUUAAAGGAAACAAUACAUCUAGGUAAUCAGGGAACAAUGUACAUAGUAGAUUGCUUCAAUUUUGUAUUUCUUUGCCAACUCACUUCAAUGUGAAGAACAGCUAGCCAUGAACUAGGAGCUUUAAACCCAUAAAUUGUCAAUCCAUCCCCCAGAAAACACAAAAUGACCAAAGUUUGUGUUUUCAAUAUUGUGUACAAUAUCUUCAAUAAUAUCAAGUUAUUUGGAAUUCUUAGUUUACUGGCACAAAUCAAAUCUUAACCAACUUUGUGCAGAGUAUACAUUUGUAAGUGGAUCUGCAUGAAUGCUUAUAGAUGACCAUUUCAAUAGUGCACUUUUAAAAAUAUCAAAUCAUUUGCUCUUAUAAUCUUCAUUUAUCCACGUAACUAAAGAAUACUUUGGCUAUGAAAAGAUAGACUUGAGAAAUCUCACUCUUCUUUACCAGCAAGUUUGCCUUUGGGCGGUGUUUAAUAAUGACUCAGAGCAUUAUUACUGCAUAGCAUAGAGAUUCAAAAUGCAAUUCUGUUUUAGAGGAACCAAUCAAGCUGGAUCUAUUUGAGGAUAGACAUCUUCAUGUUUGGAAAUACCAGAAUAUUUGGUCAUUGUAAAUGUCCACUUAGAUAUGUGGCAUUGUCACAUUUAGUUCUUUUUCCUUGUGGUGGUUAUUAUCCUGUUUACAAAAUGAUUGUUGAUCAUAUAUCAUGCCAUUCUCAUUGAGUUUAUAAAUAAAACGUUUUUUUUUAAAGGUAGUCAAGCUCAAAAUGUGACUUUGCUGACAUUUUAUGAGACUCUGUCAUAUGUCCCUAACUACCAAUAAAAAAAAAAUGCUAUAUCAACUGUGAACUUGUGUUGAUUUCUUGGGAAAAAAUGCUCUCAUAAUUUAUUUUCUUAUGUUCAUAUAUAUAUAAAUAUAUAUAUAUAUAUUUAUAUAUAUAUAUAUAUAAUUUCAGGAUCCACAAGGAGGAAAUAAUCUAAUGUGCUAAGAAAAAUUAAAUUUAGUGACAAUUUCUAAAUGAUCCCAUGUUAUCUUUAAAUAAAUAGCACUCUCAACUACCAUCUACUUAGGACAGAAAUCAAGGUGUGGUCCUUGUCUCUUCCCUUUCCACUUGCCAUGGGAGAUCAUUCAGAUAAUUCUUUUGAUAUUUUCUUCUUUCUGUUAUUCAAAUAUGUCUACUUCUUUCCAUCAUCUGUUAUAGUAAAGAUAAUGCUCAUUUCUCCCCUGGCUUGCUAUGUUUGGCCUCUAGCCACAAAUAUCACUCUGUGGUUUCAAAUUCUCCACUGCUUCCCAUUACCCUGGAGAUACCAUGAUAGAUAAAGCCAUUUAUGUCCUAAAUCCUAGACCCAGCAGUCUGCUCAUCAAUCUUCAUUCUCAUUUUUUGGUAGGUACAAACCAUCUAUCUUUGCCUUUCCCUAGCAUUCCCUGUAUAUUCUCAGCUUUCCCAUACAUAUAACCUUCUGUCUAGUACUCUCUCCAGUAGUUCCAGACUAUAUUCACAUGUCUCUCAGCCUCAUCCCAGCAUCCAUUUCCUCUUGAAAUUCUCCCCCAACUCUCUAGAAUUACCUUCUGCAUUGUAGAUGAAUCAUGAAAUUGUGUGCAUACCUCUUCAUAGGACUUACCACCAAUACAGUGAUGACUUCUGCACUGGUCUCCUCUAUUUGAAUAUGAGAUUCUAGGGUCACACUGUUUAACCUCAUAAUCACUCUCCAUAUGUGGCAAUUUCAAUUUCAAUUAAUUAGUAUUACAUAAAAUUAAUUCAGAGCUGGGUAUGGUGGUUCACACCUGUAAUUCAAGUGGCCCAGUAGGCUGAGGCAGGAGGAUUGCAAAUUUGAGGCCAGCCUGGGCAAUUUAGCAAGAUCCUACCUAAAAGAAAAAGGCCCUGGGUUCAAUUUCCAGUCACACACACACAGACACACACACACACACACCAUUUCUCAGUUGCACCAACACACUUCAAGAGCUCAGUAGCCAUGUAAAACUAGAAGCUAUCCCACAACAGCAUAGAUGCAAAACACUCUUAUGGAUACAGUUCUGUUGCAUGGUGCUGUUCUAGAAAAUAUAUUCUAUAUUUUGUCAGUCAUUUCAUCCAGAAGAUUUUAAACUCAGUUUGUCAUUUGGACCACAGGUUACAAAAGAUGAUUUGAAAGAUUAUUUUCUCAAUUAUCUCAAGGAUGAUAUUUAACAAAUACUAUACUAUAUGCAAAGGAAGAAGAUUAAUUCAUUGGAUGUAAAGAUAUCCAGGGCAUUAGGGUUUCAUUCUAGCGUAAAACUCUAGUUGAGAAUGUCUACAACAGCCAGUCAAAGGAUUUGGUACAAUAUAAUUAUCUGCUGAAUGAAUGAUACACAUAGAUUUAAUUUUAUCUAUUUCUAUCUAAAAGUGUGGACUCAUGUAGGACACGUGUCUUUAGAUUUCAAGGGGCCCCUUUUCUAGAAAAUAUUGUGAUAAAUGAUUUACUUUCCUCUCAAGGACAGAAGAAUGGUGUGACCGAUAGGAUUACCUAUUAUUUCACUUUCUAUUGAUAUUUACACAAGCAAGCAAUUGAAAAUAACUGAGCCCUCAUUCAGUAGAUGAGGUCAAAAUGAAAAUGAUCCCAUUAGAUACCAGAUUUGAUAAGCCCUAUUUAUUUCAAAAAAUGCCCAAAGUUUACUGAAAACAUUAAUUAUCUACUGAGCACCUAUUAUGUCCAGGCACGUUGUCAAGUCCUAGGGGUGUAGAAGGGAACAGGAAGGACACAGCUCUUAUAUUCAUAGUGAGUAGCAUUAAUAUAAUUAUUUUUGUUCUUCCUUGCCUGGUACCCAAAGCAGGAGUGCUCAUACUUGGCUACAUAUUCUAACCACCUAGGGAGUUUAAAAAAUACUCAUACUUGACUCUCUUCUGAAUAGAUUCUGAUUUAAUUGGUGUAGGGUGUGGCUGGGAAUUGGGAUUUUUAAGAGGUUCCUUUGAGAUUGGAAUGUGAAGCCAAAGUUAAAAACUGUUGACCUAUGGGGAUAUAAUCUUAAAAUGAUCUCAGAAAACUAAAAGCUUUUGUUAUUAAUAGUUGGUAGCAUAUUAGAACAAAAAGACUUUAAAAUCAUUUAACAUAUCUACAUUUUGCUUUCUAUUCCUCAGAAUAUAAACCAAUACUUAGUUGCUGAGUUGUCUAGGUCAAAUAGUUCAUUACUAAGAUGAGACCUAACCCUAGAUUUCUGAUUUUAACAUAAUACACUACUUGCUACACUAAACUGUCUGAGAGAAAUAGAAAAUAUAAUUAUCUUCAAAUUGAGUGACAGAAUCCACUAUGGUCAUAAUUUUUAAGAGUCUAAUUUGAGUUAAAUUCCAUAAACUCGUAUAUACAAGUAUUUCUGAUACUCAAAUAUAUGCACCAUAGAUUAAUUUCUCUAAAAUGCAUUUCUUUUAAAAAUGUGUAUUCAUAUGCAUAUAUGUACAUACAUAUAAAAAGACACAUAUAAUGCAUAUAUGUUACAUAUUAUAUUGUACAGAGGAUAACUCAGUUCCCCAGGAAUCCUAACAACGUUUUUAUAGAUUCAGACCUCAAUAUACAUAUGUUAAACUCCACACACAACUAGGAAGGAUAUCUUGCUUUAAACUUGAAUUCCUCAGUAACAAAAAUGGUUGUAGGAAGAGAAAGUAAGAGUGUACUGUGUGUUCGCAUUCUCUGUCCCCACCUACUUUAUUAUAUGACAUUCCAUUCAAUUUUACAUUUCACAAUACAGGUAAAAAUUCCAGUCUCUCUCCAUGAGAAAGAUUGACAUUAAAAACUGCUAUAGAAGUAGCUACCUUUUUAAGCUAUCACUUGUCCCAUUUUUAGAUUCUACACAUAGAUCAAAAGAAUCCAUGAACUAUGUGAGGCAUCUAAUCUACUCUUCAUCAGUAUAAGACACAUAGUGAAAAUGUGUCUUCUCACUUUUUGAAAAUCUCAAAAUAAAAUGAAUACCCACACACUUCCUUCAAAAUGCAUUUCACUGUUCGAGAGUCUAUACAGUUGGGAAAUUCUUAUUUCUAUUCCAAAUCCCUCAAGCUGUAGUUUAAUCCCAUUUUCUCUAGUUUCCCACAGAGAGAGAGAACAGCUGGCUUCCAUUCUUUUUAAACUCAAUCCCUUCAUAUCCUGAAAGACACCUACCUCUCAGCCUUCUUUUUGCUGGAAUGAAUCCUAAAAGUUCCCCUCAGUAAAAUGUCUCUUUUGGAUUCUGCAUAUUCAUUGCCAUAUCACAUAUAUUCAUGUUCAUUACAUAAUGUUCAUAUCAAGCCAAGGACAAGCACAAAAACAAGGAAACUCAUCAUUGUUUUCAUGAAUGAAAUUACAGAUCCAAUAAAAAAACACUUAAAAAUAGUUGGGAAUGAUAAUCUUCCAAAAUUAUCCUAAUUUCUUUUUUUUAAUCCUAAUUUCUUUUAGAAAGUAUUGACAAUUUGUUGCUUUUGGAGAGGAGAAUUAAAAAUUAAAUGACUGGGUUUCAAUUUUCUUUAUACAAACUUUCCCCAAGCCCUGCAAUGGAAUAUUCCACUCAGCAUUCCACAGCAGGAGCCACCAUUGCUCUGACAAAAAUAGAUACAGUAUUGGAACAUUAAGUCAAUGGAGUAAUCCAAUUGUCUGAACGUUCUUUUCUACUUUGUCAUUUAUAUUUUAAUAAAUCUCAGAAUAUGUCAAGCCCUAUCAAGUUUACCAAGUGCAGUGAACCACAUGCAGUUACCAGAUGCAUUGAGGGCAUCAUGCAACUCCUACAAAGCACCCACAUUUAGUUUGUGAGUAUUUUUAGGUUCCUACAUGUUAAAUAAGGGUGCUGUUUGAAAUUAAAAAUGAAUAUUUUGCAAAAUUUUUGCUAUAAUCAACAUUUUGUUAGCAUAUUUAGCUUUCAUAAAGAGAGCUGUAGGGAAGAGGUUGCUUUGCAUAAAUGAUCCAAGAAUUUUGGUGUCUAUUAAUCCCAAGAACAGUACUACAUAUACCAAGCAAAAAUGUGGAAUAUAUGCCUAUUUCUCUGCCAGUUAGUAAACUGGCAGUCUCUUCAUUCGGGAGACUCAGAUAAUCACAUUUUAGUUAUGUGAUGUUCACUGAUGCCAAGAUUUCAAGUAAACAAGUCCUAAUGGAGUGUGUGUGUGUGUGCACACGUGUGUGUGUGUGUGUGUGUGAUUACUAUUAACUUAGUGCAUGUAUAUAUGGGCCACCAACUCUUUCAACACUUUGAAGUUUUUGUUAUUGUGGCAUCGGAGAGCCCAGUGAAUGCUUAGGUUGGGACUGCGGUGAAAUGACAGAAUGAGCUUCAAUCUGUUGGAGAUCCCAGAGUGGUAGGUAGGUAUGUGUUUAGAAGGAAGGAAUGUCUAAAGAUGAGUCUAUUCAGGUUAGUUUGUAUUAAUAAAAAUUGCAUAAGACAUGAGGUUUAAACUUAUUUUGGGUUAUAUGCUUUGUACCUCAUAUUAACUAAGUUACUCAAAGUAGUCCAUCAGAAAACUUUUACUGUAGGUUUUUCAUCUCAAUUGUCUUAUUAUUACCCUUUUGGUAUAAUAAUUUCACAAGACCAGAGUUACUUCCUGUAAAAUAAAGCACUAGUAUCAGGUAAAUCUGACUAAUGUUAAAUGUGUGAUAAGCUCAAGGAAUAAAAAGAAUUUUGAAGGAAUUUCUUUUUUGCUAGUGUUUAGAGCUAUUCAAAUGCUGGCACAGGGAUUGUGAACAGCCCACCACUGCUACUACAUGGAGUUAGGGUUGUGUUGGGGAGAUUGAGGCACAGUUUACCUUACAGAGAUGGAGAAGACAAAAGAAAGUCAGUGAUAUUGCAAUGCACAAGUGAGACCAUCAACAUUUCCUGAUUCUCAGAGUUUUCUCUUACUGUACCCAUAGUGUGAUAACUGGUAGAUUCAGUGUAAAAGUAGGACCUAGCCAAUACUAUAAUAAUCACAAUAUGUAUGAUAUCCUAGAAAAGGACACUAUGCAGUUCCUUCCCCCACUAGGAGUAUCAUAACACUUGCAAUCAUAAAGUACUACCAUGAUUGUAGGAUGCUGAUUUAUGACUUCAGAUAACACUUAAUGAACACAAAUUAAUCAGCUAAUUAUCUCAGUCAACACUGGGGAGAAUUGGAGGAAUAUGUCAGAUUGUGAAGUUCAAGAGACACAAGCUGAGAGUUAGUGUUGUUUUCAAAUGAAAAGUCCCAUGUUCUAGAUCUAAUGCUAGUGCUGUGGUUUGUCCCCCAAGAUUUAUGUGCUCCCCAAGGCGGCACUAUUGGAAUGUGGCCUGGAACUUUUAAGAAGUAGGUUUCAUGAGUUCUUUAGGUCAACUGGGGACAUGCCCUACCUGAACCUGACCCCAUCUAGUCUCUAUGGCUUCCUGUUUUGAGAGGUGAUCUCUUCCACACUGUUUCUUCCAUUGCUAUUGGUCAUGAAGUGAUCCCACUGAGAGGGGCCCCUCCCAAGGGGAUACAACGCAGUUUGGAUUUUAACCCUCCAAAACUGUGAACUGAAAAACCUCUUUUCCUUAUAAAGUUAGCCUGCCUUGAUAUUUUGUUAUAAUAGCAAAAACCAG